UACGAAGGGGGCUAGCGUUGCUCGGAAUUACUGGGCGUAAAGGGCUCGUAGGUGGCCAACUAAGUCGGACGUGAAAUCCCUCAGCUUAACUGGGGAACUGCGUCCGAUACUGGAUGGCUCGAGUUUGGGAGAGGGAUGCGGAAUUCCAGGUGUAGCGGUGAAAUGCGCAGAUAUCAGGAGGAACACCGAUGGCGAAGGCAGGUCUCUGGGCCGAUACUGACGCUGAGGAGCGAAAGCGUGGGGAGCGAACAGG
rnacentral:rRNA from 1 species